AUUGAACGCUGGCGGCAGGCUUAACACAUGCAAGUCGAGCGGGGUGAUGGUGCUUGCACUAUCACUUAGCGGCGGACGGGUGAGUAAUGCUUAGGAAUCUGCCUAUUAGUGGGGGACAACAUCUCGAAAGGGAUGCUAAUACCGCAUACGUCCUACGGGAGAAAGCAGGGGAUCACUUGUGACCUUGCGCUAAUAGAUGAGCCUAGGUCGGAUUAGCUAGUUGGUGGGGUAAAGGCCUACCAAGGCGACGAUCUGUAGCGGGUCUGAGAGGAUGAUCCGCCACACUGGGACUGAGACACGGCCAGACUCCUACGGGAGGCAGCAGUGGGGAAUAUUGGACAAUGGGGGGAACCCUGAUCCAGCCAUGCCGCGUGUGUGAAGAAGGCCUUAUGGUUGUAAGGCACUUUAAGCGAGGAGGAGGCUCUUUUGGUUAAUACCCAAGAUGAGUGGACGUUACUCGCAGAAUAAGCACCGGCUAACUCUGUGCCAGCCGCCGCGGUAA
rnacentral:rRNA from 1 species